CCUAUUUAAGCUUACACUAUUGGUAUCAUAUACAAAUAAUAUAUAUAUUUCUAUUUAAAAUAGCAGAGUUAUUUUGUAUGCAUAUAAAAAGUAACUUUAAUUGAAAUAUCGAUUACAAGGGCUAAGCUCGUCAAUUGCUUUAGCAAAACGUUCGAAUCAUUUGGAGUAAAAUCUCAAAUCUCCAAUCAAAACGCUUGCAAAAAGGCAACAGCAAAACAAAUAGCUCUCGACAUACACAGUUACACCUAUGCAUAAGUAAAUGUGCGUGUCUGUGUGAGCAUACGCCGCAUAGGCCGUGCAACGGGCUACGGGCAACGGGCUGCUGGAAGGCAAAUCCCCAAGCAACACUUAAGGCAUAAAUCCAAACUCAAUCACGCAACAAGGUAGCACACAGCCUAUCCACAUUCACAAUCAGGAUUAAAAGUCUUCGACUGAGAUAGUGGCAGGCGACCGGGCCAGAGAGAUAGAGGGACAGAGAUAAACGAUGCUGGCCCAGUGACUGGCUCUGAAGGCAUUGCGGUAAUCAUCAUCAGAGCAUCAUCAGCAUUAUCUCAGACUCUGAGCGCUCGCUUGACUGUUGGUUCGUUGCUUCGUGCUGCCAAAAAAUGUUGAUUUAGUUUGCGGCCAAGACCUGAGCAUUGUAAACAUGCCAACGCACCCCUCGACCAGAUACUCAAUGUCAUUUCGAGCCUGAUUCAAGGACGCGCAAGGGAAAAACCACUGCGAAGGCCAAAAAUUAAGACUCGCCUCCAACUCUAGCUAACGAAUUUUCUUACUGAAGGGCACGGAAAAGUGAGCAGCUGCGUAUCAUCAACAUGGCAAGUGGCAACGAUUUGUGGAACUGGACAACAUUUGCAUGCAGAUUUAAUAAUGGCUACUAUGCUCGACAUGUCGUUGUUGUGGCCAGCCACGGCUGAGCUGUGUUCACUGUGCC